GGGUUUGACCAUAUGGACAAUGGG
rnacentral:siRNA from 1 species